GGGUUCGAAGGAUUUCUGAAUAUGGGAAAUGAGGAGAUCAGGAGGUCCCAGACAACAGUCCCAGACUAUACACAAACAUAAAUGUUUUCUUCUUCUUGAGUCGUCCUACACCAUCGGGUUAACUGAGGCGGAGAGCUGAAGGGUUCACUCUCCAAGGAGGGGGUCAUGUGGUGGAUGGGAUGAAUCGAUGUAACAGAAACACUCGCAUACUUUAUAUACAAAUGAUGGUACGUUAUAGUUUGAUGUUAAGGAUUACAAGAUACGCCAGUGGGUCAGUAUAACGUGUUGUUGGAAUUUUGAUCGCGAAUUUGGGUCUUAGACUCGCGUAUGGGAGACUCUGGGGCCCUCCGGUGUCCUCCUGAUCGUCCUCUGACUCUCUUGGAGUCUUCAAAACCCGUCCGAGCUUAAAUUCGCUGAGCUAAGCAGUCUCACGGUUUUACCCACUAAUAUUCUUUUGUAUCAUCGUUGACACAAGACUUGCACAGUCAAACAGGUCAUUGUCUUCACCUGGACGGUUGACAAAAAACCAUGAAACCGCUUAAUAGGACAUUUCAACGACGCCAUAAGAGUGCUGACAAUGGUCUAAACAUUCGUUUGAUUGUUUGACGUCAUUGUCCAGGUGACCAAUGCCGAAACCUUGAGGACUGCUUAUCACGAGGCCUACAAGACAUCGUGGGACUGCUGAUCAAUGUCUGGAUGAUAGGAAAGAGGGAUUGAAGUGCUCUAUUCCAUAAUAUAUUCGUCAAUCCCUGAAGAUUCAUCAAAAUUGAGAUGUGAAUGACUAUUUUGAUCUGGAAGUUAGAUAACAAUGAGACUAUAAAGGCCUGUGUGUGUGGGCUUCAAUCAAACUGGAUGAUGACCUUGGCAGCGAGUUAGUUUGAUUACGGAUGGACUUGUUCCUGGUACCUCGGUAGGAAUUGCUGAGUAUUGACAAGAGGACUAAGUUUGGAGCUUCCCGAAUAUGAGUUCGACCACUGGUGAUGCCAAUCGAGGGCCAACGUUAGUUCGAUAGGUCACCCCGGAGCCCGGUAGUGAGCCUAGUUCAUAGCUUGGUUCAGUUACAGCGAGAAAAUCACGAGAUGGCGAAAUCCUGGGGAGACCUUUCAAAUCCUAAGGGGCAACAGAGGCUCGCAGGUUACGAGGGUCAACAGGCCCAUAAAAGUCAACAUUUUUCAAGCGUCACAAAAUUGUGUAUUUAUCACAACUCAUUAUCAUUAAUUAAUUCAAUCGCAGACUCAAAGAAUUUCGUUAAUUUACAACAACUAGUGUAUGGUUCACGCAUAUAAUAUAUUAUAUGAUAUAUAGCAUAUGACAUAUCAUAUAAUAUAAUUAGAAUAUUAGUAGCAAAACUUUGAAAGUUAUUUAUAGUUUAUAAUUUGCAGUCUCAUAAACAAACAGAAGGAGAAAUUCUACAACACAAGA